AGGGACUUAGGAUAAUAUUAUUAAACCAAGGGCCUUCAAAGCCCUAAAUGGGAGUGGAAGACCUCCCAGUCUCUG
rnacentral:tRNA from 1 species